AGUGAACGCUGGCGGUAGGCCUAACACAUGCAAGUCGAACGGCAGCACAGUAAGAGCUUGCUCUUACGGGUGGCGAGUGGCGGACGGGUGAGGAAUACAUCGGAAUCUACUUUUUCGUGGGGGAUAACGUAGGGAAACUUACGAUAAUACCGCAUACGACCUACGGGUGAAAGCAGGGGAUCUUCGGACCUUGCGCGAUUGAAUGCGCCGAUGUCGGAUUAGCUAGUUGGCGGGGUAAAGGCCCACCAAGGCGACGAUCCGUAGCUGGUCUGAGAGGAUGAUCAGCCACACUGGAACUGAGACACGGUCCAGACUCCUACGGGAGGCAGCAGUGGGGAAUAUUGGACAAUGGGCGCAAGCCUGAUCCAGCCAUACCGCGUGGGUGAAGAAGGCCUUCGGGUUGUAAAGCCCUUUUGUUGGGAAAGAAAAGCAGCAGGUUAAUACCCCGCUGUUCUGACGGUACCCAAAGAAUAAGCACCGGCUAACUUCGUG
rnacentral:rRNA from 1 species